rnacentral:rRNA from 1 species
CGGCUGACGGCUCAGUAACACGUGGAUAAUCUGCCCUUAGGUGGAGGAUACCCUCGGGAAACUGAGAAUAAUACUCCAUAGAUCUAGGAUGCUGGAAUGCAUCUAGAUUGAAAAUUUCGGUGCCUAAGGAUGAGUCUGCGGACUAUCAGGUUGUAGUCAGGGUAAUGACCUGACUAGCCUACGACGGAUAUGGGUUGUGAGAGCAAUAACCCAGAGAUGAUAUCUGAGACACGAUAUCAGGCCCUACGGGGCGCAGCAGGCGCGAAAACUUCACACUGUGCGAAAGCACGAUGAGGGAAUCCCAAGUGCUUGCACGUAAGUGUAAGCUGUUUUUAUGUUUAAAAUGCCUAAAAAGUAAAGGCUGGGUAAAAACGGUGGCCACCCCCCCCGUUAAUCCCGGCACCUCGGGUGGUGGCCGUUAUUAUUGGGCCUAAAACGUCGGUAGCCGGUUUAAUAAAUGCCGGGGUAAAUCGUGUAGCCUAACUAUACAAAUUCCGGGUAGACUGUUAAACUUGAAACCGGGAGAAGCUAGAGGUACUCCUGGGGUAGAGGUGAUAUUCUGUAAUCCUAGGGGGACCACCAGUGGCGAAGGCGUCUAGCUAGAAAGGGUCUGACGGUGAGGGACAAAACCCUGGGGGCGCAAACCGGAUUAANAUCCCCCGGGUAGUCCAGGGUGGAAAACGCCGCCUUGCUUGAAUGUUAGGUUGGGCCCCCCAACCCCAUUUAGUGGUCGGAAAAGAAAUUUGUUUAACCAAACCCUGUCUUGGGAAAGUACCGGCCCCCAAA